UCAUCUUAGUAAUUGUUUUUUUUUAAAGCUUCCGAACUGUGUAAAUGGUUACGUCACUCUCACGUGAUGGCCAGCAUACCCUCCUUGGGGACGGGGUGUGUCACUGCCUCUCAAGUCUUAUGCAGAAGUAAUGUUAGGGAUCAAUCCAACAUUUAUCGUUCCCGACGGCUCGUUCCCAUUUCCUUCUGAACACUUUCAUUUGAUUGAACGAUUCCCGCCUCACCUGCAACAUUACAACAAGAACAAAAGAAAACAGAUUAAUCAAUCUGAUGAAGACUAUAUAUUAAAGACAAUAUUGCCGCGUCGACUGUCAAGAGACUUACAUCAACUCUGUGGUCGUUUCCUGUAGAUUUUGAGGAUGAUGAUGAUGAUCCCUGCCAAUGCAAUUACCAAAACAUUAUAAAAAUGUAAAGAAUGCGAUUGCAGCAAUACAAUGUUAUGAAUUUUAUCUUUCGUCA